GAUGAAGAACGUAGCGAAAUGCGAUAAGUAAUGUGAAUUGUAGAAUUCAGUGAAUCAUCGAAUCUUUGAACGCACAUUGCGCCCGCCAGUAUUCUGGCGGGCAUGCCUGUUCGAGCGUCAUUUCAACCAUCAAGCCCCCGGCUUGUGUUGGGGACCUGCGGCUGCCGCAGGCCCUGAAAAGCAGUGGCGGGCUCGCUGUCACACCGAGCGUAGUAGCAUACAUCUCGCUCUGGGCGUGCUGCGGGUUCCGGCCGUUAAACCACCUUCAUAACCCAAGGUUGACCUCGGAUCAGGUAGGAAGACCCGCUGAACUUAAGCAUAUCAAUAAGCGGAGGA
rnacentral:misc_RNA from 1 species